UACGGAGGGUGCAAGCGUUAUCCGGAUUCACUGGGUUUAAAGGGAGCGUAGGUGGGCUGGUAAGUCAGUGGGGAAAUCUCCGGGCUUAACCCGGAAACUGCCGUUGAUACUAUCAGUCUUGAAUGUUGUGGAGGUAAGCGGAAUAUGUCAUGUAGCGGUGAAAUGCUUAGAUAUGACAUAGAACACCGAUAGCGAAGGCAGCUUGCUACACAAUGAUUGACACUGAGGCUCGAAAGCGUGGGGAUCAAACAGG
rnacentral:rRNA from 1 species